UGAGGAACAUGACCUUCGGCGGGGGAUAGCCGGCCCAACGGCCGGGUAAUACCGCGUACGACCACAUGGGGACAUCCCUGAGUGGUGAAAGCAGCAAUGCGCCGAUGGAGUGCCUCGCGGCCUAUCAGCUAGUUGGUGAGGUAACGGCUCACCAAGGCGACGACGGGUAGCUGGUCUGAGAGGAUGGCCAGCCACAUUGGGACUGAGACACCGGCCCAGACCUUCGUAACCGGGGGA
rnacentral:rRNA from 1 species